UUUGGAAACAUGAAGGUGAUACAAAUCAUGCAUAUAUACCAACAAGACAGUGUACAUCACUGUCACAACAGCGUUUGUUUUAGUUCAAAGGCUUUAUGGUUUUUCCUAUAAUACCUGGUGGUGUAGUCGGUGAUUUUUUGUCAGUUGAGCUUUAUAUAUUAUGGUUAACCCGAGUGACCACCCGGUCAGCUGGUGGGUCACUAUGGCGUUAUUUUUGUGCCACUAUUCUGAGCGCACG